rnacentral:misc_RNA from 1 species
UCCUUGCCAGUGGUGUAGCGG